AGUUGCACGAGUUCACACUCGUAGCAUAUAGCUCAGUAACACGUGGUCAAGCUACCCUGCAGACACGGACAACCUCGGGAAACUGAGGCUAAUCCGCGAUACCGAUCCCACGCUGGAAUGCCGGGAUCCACAAACGCUCCGGCGCUGCAGGAUGCGGCUGCGGCCGAUUAGGUAGACGGUGGGGUAACGGCCCACCGUGCCGAUAAUCGGUACGGGUUGUGAGAGCAAGAGCCCGGAGACGGAAUCUGAGACAAGAUUCCGGGCCCUACGGGGCGCAGCAGGCGCGAAACCUUUACACUGCACGCAAGUGCGAUAAGGGGACUCCGAGUGCGAGGGCAUAUAGUCCUCGCUUUUGAGAACCGUAAGGCGGUUCUCGAAUAAGAGCUGGGCAAGACCGGUGCCAGCCGCCGCGGUAAUACCGGCAGCUCAAGUGAUGGCCAAUCUUAUUGGGCCUAAAGCGUCCGUAGCUGGCCACGAAAGUCCGUCGGGAAAUCCAUCUGCCCAACAGAUGGGCGUCCGGCGGAAACUUCGUGGCUUGGGACCGGAAGGCUCGAGGGGUACGUCCGGGGUAGG
rnacentral:rRNA from 1 species